rnacentral:tRNA from 1 species
GGUAAGGUAGCCGAGCAUUCAGGCGGUGGGUUGUAGCCCCGAAGACAAAGGUUUAAGUCCUUUCCUUAUCA